AUCGCCUCUCAGCCUUUUGGCUAAGAUCAAGUGUAGUAUCUGUUCCUAUCAGUUUAAUACCUGGUAUAUCCUAAAAACUUUUAAAAAAUCUAGUGGUAUUUACCACAAGACAAUGUGAGUAAAGAAUCACAUGUGGAACACAUUAAAAUUU
rnacentral:snRNA from 1 species